AGCUUGAAAGUGAAACAUCAUCAACAAACUUUCUGUAAUAACUAUAUCCAUUCAACCUGUUAGCUGCAAAGACAGAACGCACACAUAAAAAAACGAUUUUGCUUUGGAAGGGUCGCACGAGUCCGACAGUCAAACGAGGAAGAAUCCCGUCAAAACCCAAGCGUACAAGCAGGAACAAGACGUUUGUUCAUACCAGCUCUGUUGAUUCCGGACCACACGAAAUCGUACCGGAUUGCACCGGGAAGAUAGGAAUCCUGAAGGCAUCAGUAUCUGCGGUGAUCUGCGAACGGAAAGCGAUACGAUUUUAACCAGCCUAGCAAACACGAAACGGAAAACGCCUUCCAAGAGAAGUGAGUAAAUCACAGCGAUUAUAGAUUUUAUGACGACACGUGGUAUAUCGUUGGCCUCCUUUUCCGUCACUUAAAGUGUCCUACUUCAAGCAUCGGGACUCAGCUACCGGCUCAGCAGAAGUUCCAUCAAGGCGUCGGUCGAACAGGAACAAUUCGCAGGAAUGUGGUUACCGCAGCUGCGUACCUGGACGCAGGUGAGCAGCCAGAGCACAAGCGGUUUAUAGGAGACCGUGACGCAAUAGGUCCCACGGUCGAGCUCAAGGGGAUUUUGUCAGCACUAACGAGGGCACGCCGGAUGGAACUGAAGGUAGCGAGACACACGAUUUAUGUCGUGGGAUGCCGCAGCGGUAUGGCGGGGCCGUGAGUACUAGCUUUCAAGAAGUGAAUAGAAUCAGUGGGCCGGAAGAGCAAAGCAGCAGGAUAGAAGAAGUCAGAGGAAAUAGAGGAUUGUGUGAAGAGAGAUGAAUAAAGGGGUCUGAUGUUGCCACGUGUAGGUUUUGAUUUUAUGAGCAGUCGGCCCAGGUGAGGCAAGUUGUCGCCGAGGCUGUAGAAAGAUAAUGUAACAACGUCCACUGUGUCAGAGAAUCGCGUAACACAGCAAGAAUAAGACGAGACUCCGUGCGUUAUUGGCAUAUUUGGUCCUGCCAGCC